GAUGAACGCUGGCGGCGUGCCUAAUACAUGCAAGUCGAGCGAACAGACGAGGAGCUUGCUCCUCUGACGUUAGCGGCGGACGGGUGAGUAACACGUGGAUAACCUACCUAUAAGACUGGGAUAACUUCGGGAAACCGGAGCUAAUACCGGAUAAUAUAUUGAACCGCAUGGUUCAAGAGUGAAAGACGGUUUUGCUGUCACUUAUAGAUGGAUCCGCGCCGCAUUAGCUAGUUGGUAAGGUAACGGCUUACCAAGGCAACGAUGCGUAGCCGACCUGAGAGGGUGAUCGGCCACACUGGAACUGAGACACGGUCCAGACUCCUACGGGAGGCAGCAGUAGGGAAUCUUCCGCAAUGGGCGAAAGCCUGACGGAGCAACGCCGCGUGAGUGAUGAAGGUCCUCGGAUCGUAAAACUCUGUUAUUAGGGAAGAACAAAUGUGUAAGUAACUAUGCACGUCUUGACGGUACCUAAUCAGAAAGCCACGGCUAACUACGUG
rnacentral:rRNA from 1 species